GCCCAAGAGAUCGGGAUAACACCUGGAAACAGAUGCUAAUACCGGAUAACAACAGAUGAUGCCUAUCAACUGUUUAAAAGAUGGUUCUGNUAUCACUCUUGGAUGGACCUGCGGUGCAUUAGCUAGUUGGUAAGGUAACGGCUUACCAAGGCGAUGAUGCAUAGCCGAGUUGAGAGACUGAUCGGCCACAUUGGGACUGAGACACGGCCCAAACUCCUACGGGAGGCAGCAGCU
rnacentral:rRNA from 1 species